rnacentral:rRNA from 1 species
CCUACGGGAGGCAGCAGUGGGGAAUAUUGGGCAAUGGAGGAAACUCUGACCCAGCAACGCCGCGUGAAUGAUGAAGGUUUUCGGAUUGUAAAGUUCUUUUCUAAGGGAAGAAGAAAGUGACGGUACCUUAGUAAUAAGCCUCGGCUAACUACGUGCCAGCAGCCGCGGUAAUACGUAGGAGGCAAGCGUUAUCCGGAAGGACUGGGCGUAAAGGGGGCGGAGGUGGUUUGACAAGUUGGUAGCGUAACUCCGGGGCUCAACCUCGGCACUACUACCAAAACUGUCGGACUUGAGUGCAGGAGGGGCAGAUGGAAUUCCUAGUGUAGCGGUGGAAUGCGUAGAUAUUAGGAGGAACACCAGUGGCGAAGGCGAUUUGCUGGACUGUAACUGACACUGAGGCACGAAAGCGUGGGGAGCAAACAGGAUUAGAUACCCGUGUAGUC